rnacentral:lncRNA from 1 species
GUGAUCAUGAAGGUAUAAAAUAAAGUCAUGCCUCAACCAAGGUGCAGCAAUUUAUCCUGUGAAACCUGUGCUGCAGGUUUUAUGUGUAAACUAUGUCCUAUGCAUCAUUUAGCUGACACCAUCCCACCUCCAAGACCCCAUCCCCUGUUGGAGGCUGGCCCACCCCACAGCAACUGGCGCUGGGGACCAGGGACUCUUGACUAGGGACAGAUGCAGCAGUAGAUGGAAGGCUUAAGGUCAAAAAGAAGGUUGCCUCUCUUUGCACUGGAGUCUUUCCACAUCCCUGGUUGGAGAUCAGGAGGCACCUGGUGAAGAUAAAAGUCCAGCAGUCACACUUAGGGGAUACAUACAGUGGGAAAUGGAAAAAGGGAAGAAAAAUCCAUCUCUCUCCUUCCUACCUCCUCCCCAAUCUGUACCUUGAGUCCAUUCCUUUUCUGUCAGGAAGUGGGCAGCAGGCUAAAUCCCCAGUCUUCUGGAAUCAUGGCUCUGUAGGUGAUGCUCUUUGCAUAAGAAGCAUGAAACACCACCAUCUCAGAAGAAUCAUAAAUGCAAGUGAUCCAAAGGCUGAAGGAGAGAUGCAUGGUGCAGCAGAUGGCAGCAUUUUGAUGAUCCUCUACUUAGAAAGCUCCCAGAAUGCUGGAUUUGGUGUUGGAGGACCUGGAUUAAAAUACAGGUUCAAUGGUGUGAUGUCAGGCAAGUCAUUUACUUUCUUUAGACCUCAAUUUCCUAAUUCCUAAUCCUGUUUGAUGAAAGAGAUUUGAAGAAGAAGUUUGGACUCAAAUUUUUUUGGCUCUGUCAAAUUCUAAAUUGAGGUUUACAUUAUAUUCAAUGGCAAAAAAUGAUGACAUGAAGAAAAUGUCCUAUGUAUAGCUGGAAAAGGAGAUAGGUUGGUUGUGACUGAGAGAGACGGGCAUAGAACAGAUACAUAAACUGAAUGCUGCAAUGAUGUUCAUAGAAUAGAAUCAGAGGAAGGUCUCCAUUGUUUUGGUCUGAUGCUCAAUGGAAGGUACUUGGAAGAACUUGGACAAUAAUUGAGUAGGAUGAGAAAAUAUGGAGGAUUAUGAUCUUGUUAGCAGAGGUACCACCCACACUGAUGAGGGUAUUGGAGUAAGCAUUAUUUCUCUUUAAUUUCUCCUGCCACCCAUUUUGUUCAGGAACUCAUUGUCUCUCAUCAGAAUAAACUCCAAAUUGGUCAU